rnacentral:rRNA from 1 species
AUUGAACGCUGGCGGCAUGCCUUACACAUGCAAGUCGAACGGCAGCGGGCCCUUCGGGGUGCCGGCGAGUGGCGAACGGGUGAGUAAUGCAUCGGAACGUACCCGGGAGAGGGGGAUAACCGGCCGAAAGGCUGGCUAAUACCGCAUGAACUCGGAAGAGCAAAGCGGGGGACCUUCGGGCCUCGCGCUCUCGGAGCGGCCGAUGUCCGAUUAGGCUAGUUGGUGGGGUAAAGGCCCACCAAGGCGACGAUCGGUAGCGGGUGCGAAAGGACGAUCCGCCACACUGGGACUGAGACACGGCCCAGACUCCUACGGGAGGCAGCAGUGGGGAAUCUUGGACAAUGGGCGCAAGCCUGAUCCAGCAAUGCCGCGUGGGUGAAGAAGGCCUUCGGGUUGUAAAGCCCUUUCGGCGGGGAAGAAAUCGGUCAGGCGAAUAGUCUGGCCGGAUGACGGUACCCGCAGAAGAAGCACCGGCUAACUACGUG